rnacentral:sRNA from 1 species
AAAGACUUCUUGUAAAGUGCUUAUCACUCAAAAAGAAAAAUAUUUCUUUGACAUGACACAGAAAACACUACCCCAGAAGAAAACAUUGACACAUUUUAC